UUGGAGGGCAAGUCUGGUGCCAGCAGCCGCGGUAAUUCCAGCUCCAAUAGCGUAUAUUAAAGUUGUUGCAGUUAAAAAGCUCGUAGUUGAAUUUCGGGGUUCUACCGUUGGUCGGGCUUUGUCUGUACUGGUGUGUAGAAUUUCUACCUUCUGGGGAACCAUCAUGCUAUUAAUUUAGCGUGGUGGGAAACCAGGACCUUUACCUUGAAAAAAUUAGUGUGUUCAAAGCAGGCUUAUGUCUGAAUACAUUAGCGUGGAAUAAUAGAAUAGGACGGCGGUCCUGUUUUGUUGGUUUCUGAAUCACCGUAAUGAUUAAUAGGGAUAGUUGGGGGCAUUAGUAUUCAAUUGUCAGAGGUGAAAUUCUUGGAUUUAUUGAAGACUAACUUCUGCGAAAGCAUUUGCCAAGGAUGUUUUCAUUAAUCAAGAACGAAAGUUAGGGGAUCGAAGACGAUCAGAUACCGUCGUAGUCUUAACCAUAAACUAUGCCGACUAGGGAUCGGACGAUGUUAAUUUUUCUUGACUCGUUCGGCGCCUUACGGGAAAC
rnacentral:rRNA from 1 species